AUUCGGCGAGAGGUAGUGACUCAUAUGACUUUACCAAUUGUCUUGGCGAAAUCUGAGACAGUUGUGUCUAAGUACUCUCUUUUACUCGCUACCUCGUUGUCUG
rnacentral:pre_miRNA from 1 species